UACGGAGGGUGCGAGCGUUAAUCGGAAUUACUGGGCGUAAAGCGCGCGUAGGCGGCCCGGCCAGUCUGACGUGAAAGCCCCGGGCUCAACCUGGGAACUGCGUUGGAUACUGCCGGGCUGGAGUGUGGGAGAGGGCGGUGGAAUUUCCGGUGUAGCAGUGAAAUGCGUAGAGAUCGGAAGGAACACCAGUGGCGAAGGCGGCCGCCUGGACCAACACUGACGCUGAGGCGCGAAAGCGUGGGGAGCAAACAGG
rnacentral:rRNA from 1 species